AUGGGAGGAGGGGAGAGAGCUAGACGUGAGGCGCCGGCGGCGCGCGUGCCGCUGUACCGGUUGUUCGCAUUCGCGGACAGGACGGACGUGGCGCUGAUGGCGGUGGGCACGGUGGCCGCGGUGGCCAACGGGAUGGCGCGGCCGGUCAUGACCCACAUCUUCGGCGACGUCGUCAACGCCUUCAGCUCCGCCGGCUUUUCGCCGGACUCAGACGUGCUGCACAGGGUCAGCAAGAUCAUCAUUAACUUUGUUUAUCUGGGUAUUGGAGCAGGACUUGUUUCAGCACUUCAGGUGUCAUGUUGGACAAUUACUGGAGAAAGACAGGCAGCACGAAUCAGAGCUCAGUAUCUCAAGGCGAUCCUUAGACAGAACAUUGCAUUUUUCGACAAGGAAAUGAGCACGGGACAAGUUGUUGAGAGGAUGUGUGGAGACACAUUCCUCGUUCAAGAUGCCAUUGGAGAAAAGAUUGGCAAGUACAUACAGCUCCUGUCUACUUUUUUUGGAGGCUUCAUUAUUGCAUUUGUGAGAGGAUGGCUCUUGACACUUGUUAUGCUCUCAAGCAUUCCUCCAGUAGUUGUGGCCGGUUUUAUUGUAUCAAGGAUACAAACGAAUCUCUCUACCCAAAUGCAAGCAAAUUAUGUUGAUGCUGCAGACAUUGUUGAGCAAACUAUUGGGACCAUUAGAACGGUUGUUUCAUUCAAUGGUGAGAAUCAAGCUAUAACUACAUAUAAUAAGUUCGUAAGAAAUGCAUAUGAAUGUGCUCUACGAGAAGGUGCUGUCAUUGGGCUUGGACUAGGUCCAGUAACGGGAACCUUGUUUUGCACUUAUGGGUUGGCAGUUUGGUAUGGAGCUAAACUGAUAGUCGACGGAGGAUAUAAUGGUGGCAUUAUUAUUAAUGUUAUGUUGGCUGUCUUCUCUGGUGCACUGUCCUUAAGUCUAGCAACAUCAUCAAUAACUGCUUUUGCAGGAGGGCAAGGAGCAGCAUAUAGAAUCUUCAAGACAAUAGAAAGAGAACCAGAUAUUGAUGUAUAUGACAAAAAAGGUAUCAUACUGGAAGACAUUAAGGGUGAUGUUGAACUUAAGGAUGUGUAUCUUAGCUAUCCUACCAGGCCUGAUCAUUUGGUAUUGAAUGGAUUCUCCUUACGAGUACGAAGCGGCACAACAAUGGCCCUAGUUGGAGGGAGCGGCGGUGGGAAAUCAACUGUAGUUAGUUUGGUGGAGAGAUUCUACGAUCCACUGUCUGGGGAAGUCUUGAUCGAUGGAGUUGACAUUAGAAGAAUGAAUCUUGGGUGGAUAAGAGGAAACAUUGGUCUUGUCAGCCAAGAACCAGUGUUGUUUUCAAGUACGAUCAGGGAAAAUAUUGCCUACGGGAAGGAUGGUCUUACUCUUGCUGAGAUCAAAAGAGCAAUCGAGUUUGCAAACGCAGAAAACUUCAUUGCUAAAUUGCCAAAUGGUCUCGAGACAAUGGUUGGGGAACGUGGAACUCAACUAUCUGGAGGGCAGAAGCAAAGAAUUGCAAUUGCUAGAGCAAUUAUUAAAAACCCUAGAAUAUUGUUACUUGAUGAAGCAACCAGCGCAUUGGAUAUGGAAUCUGAGAGGAUUGUUCAAGAUGCUUUGGACAUCAUAAUGCUAGAAAGGACUACAAUCAUCGUCGCACAUCGUUUAAGCACAAUAAAGAAUGCUGAUGUCAUAUGCGUCCUACAACAUGGGAAUAUUGUGGAACAAGGUUCACAUGUACAACUGGUAAUGAAACCUGAAGGUGCUUAUUCUCAGCUGAUUCAUCUGCAAGAGACUAUGCAAGAAGUAGAAGCCUCUGGUGUAAACCCGGAUGUUAUGAUGAAAAACAAUUUUGACUAUAUGUCUAUCAGUAGAAAACCAGGAAUCCAAGGUAGCUCAUUUAGGAGGUCAACUAGUAAAGGCUCAUCCUUUGGGCAAAGUGGUAGGCAUCCUUUCCCUGCUCCGUUUGGCCUGUGUGAUACCAUGGAAUUCAGGAAUGGUCAGGACCUAGAGGAAACUAUAGAUAAAAUAUCUAGUGGUAAAAAGAAAGCUCCAAUCGGUCGACUCUUCUAUCUAAACAAACCAGAGGCUUUUGUUCUUGCUCUUGGUUCUAUAACUGCAGUAAUCCACGGAUUAAUUUGUCCAGUAUAUGGCAUAUUGAUUUCAAGUGCAUUAAAGACAUUUUAUGAGCCACCAGCAAAACUACUGAAGGGCUCGAGGUUCUUGGCAGGCAUGUUUGUCAUACUAGGUAUUUCCACACUUGUUCUGGUUCCAUUAGAGUACUUCCUGUUUGGGUUAGCAGGCGGGAAGCUUGUGGAGCGCAUACGGUCGCUGACAUUCCAAAGUGUCAUGCACCAGGACAUUAGCUGGUUUGAUGAGCCUCAACACUCAAGUGGAGCAUUAGGUGCUAAGCUAUCGACUGAUGCUCAAAAUGUGAAGCGACUUGUUGGAGACAAUUUAGCACUUAAUAUCCAGACUGUAUCAACCAUCAUGUCAGGAUUCACAAUAGCUAUGAUGGCAAACUGGAAGUUGGCUUUGAUUAUCACUGUGGUGAUUCCUUUUUUUGGUUUCCAAACCUAUGCUCAAACAAAGUUCCUGCAAGGUCGCCAUAAAAAUGCAAAGUUAAAGUAUGAGGAAGCAAGCCAAGUAGCGUGUGAUGCGGUUGGAGGCAUCAGAACUGUGGCUUCCCUUUGUGCUGAGCAGAAGGUGAUGGAUGCCUAUGAGAAGAAAUGUGAAUCUCCGACUAGACAAGGAAUGAGGGAAGGUGUUGUUGGUGGCAUGGGCUUUGGCUUCACAUUCCUUGUAUUCUACCUUGCAUACGCUCUCUGCUUCUACGUUGGUGCAAAGUUUGUUCAGGAAGGAACAGCAACAUUUCCUGAAGUAUUUCGGGUGUUCUUUGUAUUAGUUUUGGCUUCUGGUUCGAUCUCACGAGGUAGCGCAUCAGGUGCGGAUGGCGCCAAGGCUAAUGCAUCGGCCAUCUCUUUAUUUGAAAUUCUUGACCGUAAAUCCAAGAUAGAUUCCAGCAGUGAGGAGGGUAUGGUGAUUGCAAGUGCGAGGGGCGACAUUGAGUUCCAGAAUGUAUGCUUCAGCUACCCCUUACGCCCAAAUGUUCAAAUCUUGAAUGAUCUAACCGCGAGCAUUCCUUCUGGAAAGACGGCUGCCCUUGUUGGAGAGAGUGGUGGUGGCAAGUCCACUGCAAUCGCGCUCCUCGAGAGGUUCUACGACCCAACUUCAGGAAAGAUCCUUUUUGACUCUGUGGAGCUUGGGACCCUUAAAGUUAGCUGGCUUCGGCAGCAGAUCGGGCUUGUGGCGCAAGAGCCAGUGCUGUUCAACGACACCAUCCGCGCCAAUAUAGCCUAUGGAAAGCAGGGGGAGGCAUCUGAAGAAGAGAUCGUCGCCGCUGCCGAAGCUGCCAACGCACACCCUUUCAUCUCCGGGCUGCCUGACGGCUACGACACAGUAGUCGGCGAGAGGGGGAUCCAGCUAUCAGGUGGGCAGAAGCAGCGCGUCGCCAUCGCGAGGGCCGUCGUCAAGGACCCCAAGGUGCUCCUCCUAGACGAGGCGACAAGCUCUUUGGAUGCGGAGUCGGAGCGUGUGGUGCAGGAGGCGCUGGACCGGGUGAUGGUUGGGAGGACGACCUUGGUGGUGGCACAUCGCCUGUUGACGGUAAGAGGGGCCGACAUCAUUUGCAUGGUCCAGAGCGGGACGAUCACGGAGAAAGGGAGGCAUGACCAACUGAUGCAGAUAAAGGAUGGAGCCUACGCUUCCCUUGUCGAGCUUAGCUACGCGGAGAAAGGAGGCAUAUGA
rnacentral:rRNA from 1 species